rnacentral:lncRNA from 1 species
CCAAGCCUGGCUCACAAUGACGUGUGCAUCACUCACUGGCAGGAUGCUCUGUAAAGUCCCUCAGGCCCCAUGAAGCAGGGAAAGAACAGAGGUGCCUCUAGCCUGCAAGAGAAAGGGCCAGGCAAGAUCCUGUGGAGGGAGGGAGGCAGGAUGUGAACUCGUUUACUAUGGGUAUUUUUUCCUUUGAAUUAAAUUCUAGAGUGUCAGGCUUUUUUUUUUAACUUUGUUAUUCCUAAGCCAAAUUUAGUUUUUAGGUUUCCUUCUCCUCCCAUCCCCCCAAUAACUUAUUCUUAUCUUCCCACCUCAAGCAU